CCUACGGGAGGCAGCAGUGGGGAAUAUUGGGCAAUGGAGGCAACUCUGACCCAGCAAUGCCGCGUGAGUGAUGACGGUAAUUUUAUUGUAAAGCUCUUUUCUUUGGGACGAAUAAUUGACGGUACCAGAGGAAUAAGCCCCGGCUAACUACGUGCCAGCAGCCGCGGUAAUACGUAGGGGGCAAGCGUUGUUCGGAAUGACUGGGCGUAAAGGGUGUGUAGGUGGUUUGUUAAGUUAGAGGUGAAAUGUCCGAGCUUAACCCGGGAACUGCCUCUAAUACUGUUGAUCUAGAGAGUAGAUGCGGUAGGCGGAAUGUAUGGUGUAGCGGUGAAAUGCUUAGAGAUCAUACAGAACACCGAUUGCGAAGGCAGCUUACCAAUCUACAUCUGACGUUGAGGCACGAAAGCGUGGGGAGCAAACAGGAUUAGAUACCCUUGUAGUC
rnacentral:rRNA from 1 species